GAAAUGUUCUGGUCUGUCAUUUGGGGUGAGGCGGUGAGACCAUCAAGGACAGAGAAUCAAAAGUCUUCCUCUGGGGAGGGUGUCUGAUCAGCUCUAGGGGCAUUGGCUUUUCUGGGAAGCUUUGCAAGCUUUGGUCUUGAAUACAGGUUGAGCAAUUAGUUACAGAUUAUUUUGUUGGAAGGGUCGCCAAAGGGACAGCCCUCCUGCAGCACCUGCCUCAGAUACAUCCCACCAUACAGGCCACUGAGAUGGCCCUAUGAGUUGACACAGAGCCAGGGAGGCCAGCAGACACGGACAAAGGCCGGGAAGCUUACAAAGGAGCAGUCAGCCCAGGAGGAGGGCUGCAGUGAGGCCACAGAAGUCCAUGGUGUGAAGGUUUUACUGAAGCACUGUUUGCAGAAAGCCUAGCGGGCUCAGAAAACCAGCCAUGCCAUGGUGGGAAGAAAGCCUUGCUGAGAUCCUGUGGCUGAAAACCAUCAUGGGCUUUUGCUUUCAGACUGCCCAUUGCCAACCGAUGCAGGCCCAGAGAAGCAAGGAGGAGUGCUGUUCUGGGAAGGCGGUGGGCACAUAGAUGGAGCUAGACUUGCGACUUCAGGCCCUCAGCAGCCACAUGAUCUUGCAGCUGUGGGCCAUGCACCUGCUUCUUGGGCCCAUGAUUAACCAGAUGUUCAGCUCCUUAAAGACAGACUUCGGGGCCCUUGGCUGGCAGGGGAUGCAAUCUGCAGAUGAGAAGCUCUGAGAAGCAGUUCUCAAAGCCAGGAUCCAGAGGCUCAGCCAUGUGAGUUUCCUGUGAGAGGGAAAAGGCAGGAGCAUAGAGGCCACUGAAGUUGUUCUCAAAAGCCCCAAGAUACCUUUGGUCUCAGUGGAGGCAUCCAGGACACAGCUGUCUUCACUUCUUCACUCAGUCAUUUAGAAAUUGUUCAGUGAGCACCCACCCUGUAUAAUUCACUGCUGCUGCAGCUGAGCUCAACAUGGUGUCAUCUAGGGGAGGAGCUUGAAGAGGUUGUGUUAAGGAAGAACCACGAGAGGAGUGCCCAGUUGGAUGUGACCCCGGAUGUGUAGGCAUCCAGGAGGCUGAAAGAAGGCUGACCCAGGGCCUGAUCACUUGACAAUGGACAUGCUACCUCACAGAGCAUAACACCACAACUAACACAUCCUGAGCCCUCAAUCAAUGUUGUGCAAUAAAGGAAUAAACCUGGAUGUCUUUCCUGUAACCAAACAUUGGACUAUUCAUCAACUGUGCACUUUUUGUUCCCCAACGAGCACAAGGGUUUGGACUGCACCAUCCCCACUCUUUCUUGACUCUCUCUGUACACCAUAAAUGCAUGGUUCAGGGUGAUUUUGCUGGGCAAGGGUGAUGGUUUGACUAUUUGUGUCCCUCCAAAAUUCAUGUUGACACUUAAUGCCCAUUGUGGUGGUAUUAAGAGGUAGAGACUUUCGGGAAGUGAGUAAGUCACGAGGCCUCUUUAUAAAAGAAGCUUCAGGCCAGGUGCAGUGGCUUAUGCAUGUAAUCCCAGUACUUUGACAGGCUGAGAUGAGAGGAUCAUUGAGCCUAGGAUUUCAAAACUAGCCUGGGCAACAUAAUGAGACCCUAUCUCUAUUAAAAGUAAAACAUUAGCUGGGCAUGGUGCGGUGCACCUGUAGUCUCAGCUACUUUGGAAGCUGAGGCAGGAGGAUCACUUGAGCCCAGGAGGUUGAGGCUGCAGUGAGCUAUGAUUGCACCACCGCACUUCGGCCUAGGCAACAGCGUGAGACCUUGUCACACACACACACACACACACACACACACACAAUAGUUUCAGACAAUAGCCUGGCCUGGCCUUCCCAUCUCUUCUGCUGUGAAAACACAACAUGCAUCCCUUUUUGCCUCUUCAGCACAUGAGGAUAUAGCAAAAAGGCCCAGGCCCUCAACAGGCACUGAAUCUGCUGGUACCUUGAUCUUGGACUUCAGAGCCUCCAGAACCAUAAGAAAUAAAUUUCUAUUCUUUAUAAAUUACUGAAUCUGUGGCAUUUUGUUACAGCAGCACAAACAGACUAGGACAGGGAGGUUGGGAGUGCACCGUGUGAUGUGUCUUUGCAAAGUCUACCCUGUACCAAGCUGACUGGCCCUAUGGGAUUUGUUAGCAACUAGCUGGGCCAGAUCAUUAGAAAACAAUUUGAAAUGCAGAAUGAGGAAUGGUGGCAAAUUUGGCUAUUUUUCUCAGGGUUUUGUUCAGCACCAUUUGCUGCCAUGCUACCAGCAUAGUGGUUUGUGUGGCCUGUACAUCCAGAAUACCUGGGUUCAAAUCCUGCUCCCUGCCUGUGUGAUCUUGAGCAGGUGAUAUGAGCUGCCUGUGCCAAGUUCCGCAUCUGUAAAGUGAGGGUGGUAAAAGGACCUACCUCGUAGAGUUGCUAUGAGAAUGAAGUAAGUUGGCGGGUGAAAAGGUGGUGAAUAUUCGUAUUAUUGAUGUUAUUAUCACUGUAAGCAGCAGUGGCAGCAGCUGCCAAGCCUCACAUUCCAACCUGAGAAUUUCCAAGAGAAGGCAGAUGAUCUUGUAAAACUCCAGGAAGUCACAUCUCUGAUUUCCAGCCCUCCUGUCUACAGAGCCAAACCUUUCCGCAGAACUCUCCCUGCUACCAUAAAAUGCUGCCUCCACAGAGGGAACCCUCCCCAGGCACAAGGCAGAUGGUUGCUCCGUUCCAUGUGGCCCCUCACUGCAGUGCAGUGAUGAUGUUUGGGCUGAGCAAAAGACUUCAGUGCUCAGAGGAGAAGGAGCAGGAGGCUUUGCCAGCUUCCAUUUGCAUGAGAAAAGAACUGAGAGGAGAGGGGAGAAGGGGGAAGAUGCUUGCUUCCUCCUUCCAUCUUGGCAUUCACAGAGCAGGCUGCAUUUGAACACUGCCGUGCUAUGUACAUUGGAUCCAUGCAAUGUUACAUAAGUAUUUCAUAAGGGACAAGGUGACUUUGUGUUUUUUUCACCUGUUCUUCUCCUCUGAUCCCAGAAGCUGGGAAGUAGGCUGGAUGCAGAGAAAAGAGCAUUGUUCUCAAGUCUGCUUCACUGCUUAAAGACUAAGAAGGAAAAAAAAUAGAAAGGAAAACAAGAAUCAUUGUCUCUUUUGUUUUCUCUUUAAAAUAUAAAAGGAACUCUGAAACCAAAGUUCGGAUGACAUCGUAUGACAUUUUCCUUUCCACAUGGAAAAAUUUUGAAUAAAAGAUCUGUUUUCUGGGUUGACACUUCUGGGCUCUUUCAAUCUCCAGUAGCAGCAAACUGCUGUCAUUUCUGGAAAUAAGGAUGGCAAGACUCAGGGGGUUAAUCUGCCUGAUUUUGCUCUCCAAGGGUGACAGCGUAAAGCUCUUUGGCUCUGCAUCCACAGUAAUAGCUGAGGGCAGCGCUGCCCAACAGAACUUUCUGUGGUGAUGGAAGCCUUCUCUAAUCUGUGCUGCACAUCUGGCAGCCACGAGCCACACGUGGCUAUUGAGCGCUGGAAGUGGGGCUGCUGUGACUGUGGAACUGAGUUAACUUCACUGUUAAUUUAAAUUUAAAUGGCCACGUGUGGUCUGUGGCUACAGUAUUGGCAGGUGCAUGAGAGCAAUAGCAAAACAAACUGUAAGUAGCAUCCACAGAUGUUGACUGAAUGCAUCACACAGAUAAGAUGGAAAAGGAAGAGCCUAAAAGUUCUGAAGAGUGAUGUUCCCCUUCCACAGGAGCAGUUUAUGUGUCAGUGGCAAUGAUGUUUUAUGAAUAUUUGGGAUGACCAUUUUCUGUUUCAUCUUUCAGCUGUGGGAGUAGCAGUCUACUUUAUUUCUUUUCAAUUUUUUUUUAGAGAUGGAGUCUUGCUAUGUUGCCCAGGGUGAUCUUGAACUCCUGGCCUCACAUGAUCCUCCUGCCUCAACCUCCCAAAGUGUUGGGAUUACAGGCAUGAACCACCAUGCCUAGCUCAGUCUACUUUUUUUAAAAGAGGAAUGAGAUCAAGAUCACAUUUCAAAAAAUAUGUUGUCUCCUAAAGUAAGUAAUAUUUCUACCUGGAAGCUCUUCCUUCAAGUCUAAAGUCAAAGGGAAAGACAAUAAUUUCUUCUAGGCUUUUGAGGUGAUGAUCAUGGGGUUUGCUUAGAUGUCAGAUCCACGAGUCACCCUAAAGCCUGAAGAGACAGAGUAGAUGGGAGCUGGUGUUGGGUGAACACUGGACUGGUCCCAGGGCUGCGGUUCUUGAUCAGUGUAAUGCAGGAAGGAGUCGCCAAUGUGGCCACGCUCCUGGUAGGGGUUCUUUGUAGGUACUAGAGGCUCAGUAGCUGUCCUGAGUCAAAAGACCAAAGAAAAAGGGAAGCCUCAAGGAGAGAUGAGAGGACAGCAGAUGAAAAUGAGCCUGCAGGAAACCAAGCUCUGAGGAGAAAUGGGCAGGCAGCCAAGAGCAGGGCAGAAACUGCAGCAGUAGCAGCGGCAGCAAUGAAGUCUCCAAGUUAUGAGUGGCAGGCUCUGAGAACAAUGAUGGAGCAGGAAGUUAAUGCAGAGGGCAGGCAGAGAGCCCCUGAGACGAUAAGCAAGAUGAGUGGAGAAAACCGACAGGACUUAGACCUGGGCAUGGGCAGCAGAGGACCUUAUCCCAGCAGCAGAGGGACUGGCAGUUAAUGACGAUGCUCGAACAUCUGCUAUACGUUGGGAAUUUUGCACGCAUUUAAUAUUUUGCAUGCAGAUAAUAUUAUUCCCAUUUUAUGAAUGAAUGAGCCCAGACUUAAAGUGCUGGAGGGAUUUAAUAUUCUCCUGGAUCUAUCUGCCUUGCUGGCUACUCCUUCAGGCUUCCUUUUGAGUUCAUUCUUCUCUUACCACGUCUGUAAAUGUUAGAAUUUUUUAAGGAAUGUUACACAGUUGAGUCGUCUUCUCUUCUCACCCCCUACUUACUCAGCACAGUAUAAACCACUCUCUGGGAACUCCAGAAUUUUGUCUCUAUCUGGAAUCUCCCCUAGGAAUGGCAAAAUUAACCUAAAGAAUGUACAAGGAAGGAAAAAAUAGACAUAAACCUAGGUAUUUUUAUUUUGUUAAUUAGAAAAGUAGAAAGAACAGAUAAUGAUUCCAAGAGUUGCUUUUCAUUUAACCAAUAAAAUAACAAACCCUUAACUGACCCAAUAAAGAAAAUGGGAGCAGUCACAAAAUUAGGAAUGAGAAAAUAUUUCAAGAGACCACUCUGCUCAAUGCUAUGUUGAAACUUUUGAAAACCUAAAUACCAAUUAAAUUUUUCCAGUAAAAUAUUUAUGACCAAGGUUUACUCUACAAGAGAGUCUACUACUAGAGUUGCCAGAAUUAGUAUACAGAAAUUUGAAUUUUAGAUAAAUAAUUUUUUAGUAUGUCUUACGCAACAGUUAGGACAUACUUUUACUAAAAAAAAAAAAAAGUCAUUGGUUGUUAUUCUGAAAUUCAAAUUUAAUUGGAAAUCCUGCAUUUUAACUGGCCGAUCUAUUAAAACAGAUAAAUUAUUGUGGAGAAACAAUAGGAACUUGUCAAAAGCUUUAAAAACAUCAAGAUCAGAAGUUUCAGGUAAAGCGUAUGAAUUAAAUUCAAGCAAUAUUUUCAACUCUAUUUAAAUGAUUCCAAAGCAUAAAAAAACAGCUUCUAAGACAUUUUUAUAAAGCUACAAAGACUGAAGUCAAACCUGACAAGGAGAGUUAAAAAAUGUGGGCAAAACAGUGGUGAAUAUUCAUGAUAAAAUCUUACUGUGAUAUUCACAAACAUGGGGGAAUGAUAUUUUCUUUAAAAUCGACAGACUUUUUAGAGAAAAAAGGCAGUUGAAGAAAUUAUCAACAGUGAUUUUACCAAGUUCUUUGUAUUUUUUCUCAGUCUUAACAUGCCUAUAUAUAUUAUGUACAUAAUUCUUAGCUGUAAGUCAUUUUUAUAAUAGAUGCUAUUUUCUGCAAGCCUCUCAAAUUAAAACCCAUUGUUCUGAAAGUACUAAUCAAUGCAAUUACAUAAGGGAAAAAAUGAGACAUAAAUACUUCAACCACGGAGGCAAAAUUAUUACUGUUUUCAAACAAUGUAGUUAUUUACCUAGAAACUGCAAAAGAAUCAAUUGGAGGAAUUCUGUUACCAGCAGAAGAUAGUUCAGUUAGGUGGAUUGGUUUCACAAUGAAUAUCCACAUUCAGUGGCAUUUCAGUAAACAAAUAGUAUUCAGCUAUAAAAUAUAAUGGAGCAAAUUAUCUCAUUUAUAAUAGCAUAAAAAAGAUAAUGUGCCUAGACAUAAAUUUAAUUAAAAAUAUAGGCUAGGUAUGUUGGCUCAUGCCCAUAAUCUCAAGACUUUGGAGGGCUGGAGGAUCCCUUGAACCCAAGAGUUUGAGACCGUGAGACCCCAACUCUACAAAAAAAUAAAAUUAGCUCGGCAUGGUGUGCAUGCCUGUCAUCUCAGCUAUUGUGGAGUCUGAGGCAGGAGGAUUGUUUGAGCCCAGGAGUUUGAGGCUGUAGAGAUCUGAUUGUGCCACUGCACUCCAGCCUGGGUGACAGAGUGAGACCCUAUCUCUAAAAAUAAAUGGGGGGCUAUUAAAUAAAACAACAACGUGUAACACUUCUUGAAGGACAAAAAAAAAAUAAAAAUAAAUAAGUAGAAAGACCUGUCAAAGACCUAUCAUAUUCUUGGGUAGGAAGAUUCAAUACUGUAAAUGCAUAAGUUUACCCUAAAUUAAAUCCAUAGAUCCAAUUUAAUCCUCAUCAAAAUGCCAACAGGCACUUUUAUAUCUUGAUAAAGUAUUAAAGUUACUUGGAAACAUAAGUUUGAGGAAACUCCAUAGACUCCCGUAUGCAAUAAUCCAUUAAUAACCCAGUAAUAUUGGGGAGGAUACACAAGAAGCUGUUUAUAAUAUUCACCUCUUAGCAGUGGAAGUGAGGGGUAAAGACUUGAGCCAAAGAUGUAUUUUCAUGUUAUACUCAUCUAUGCUAUUUGAAUUUUUCCACAGGUGCAAAUAUUACUUAUAUGAUUAAAAAUAGUUAUUUUAAAAGAACAUUUCCAUUAUAUUGAGUACUGAUUUGUAACCCUCUCUGCUCAUUAGAAUCAUAUAGGGAGCUUUGGAAAGACACCAGGUCUCAGCACUUGCCUCCAGAUUCUAAUUCAAUUUGGCUGUGUUAGGGCCCAGGCAAUGGCAUUUUUUACAAAAGUUCUCACUGAUUCUGAUGUGGAGCCAGGGCCGAGAGCCACCACUGUCAAGUAACCCAUGGCAGCAUUUUCCAACUUUUGGUCACAACCCUUCGGUUAGGAAAUCAACUUAAUGGCUUGGGACCAGAGUUAAAAACAAACAAACAACAACAACUGAAACCAACUCAAUUGAGCAGAAACUUGUGCAUGCCUGUUGUGUUUAAGACAUGUCUCUUUCUGGGGGAUGUCAUCCAAAACAUUGGAAAACCCCUACCUUAAGUGGUUCAGAUCUUUCAGACUUUCUGAGACAUUUUAUCAGAAUUUGUGUGAACUAUUAAAGGCUUUUUACUGUUUAAAAGUUAUAUUGUAAUUCUGACUUUUGUUCACGUAUUUGAUGAUUCAAUUAUUUAUUCAUUACAUAGUCAAAGGUAGAAAAUUACAUGUAAUUACUUGUGCUUAUCUGAUAAGCAUAGUGACUGAUGUAUGUAAAUGCUCAAUAUGUGAUGG
rnacentral:lncRNA from 10 species